rnacentral:rRNA from 1 species
AUUGAACGCUGGCGGCAGGCCUAACACAUGCAAGUCGAGCGGUAGCAGGCCUUCGGGCGCUGACGAGCGGCGGACGGGUGAGGAACACGUAGGAAUCUGCCUUGUAGUGGGGGAUAGCCCAGAGAAAUUUGGAGUAAUACCGCAUAUGCCCUGAGGGGGAAAGUGGGGGACCGAAAGGCCUCACGCUAUGAGAGGAGCCUGCGUCGGAUUAGCUAGUUGGUGGGGUAAGAGCCCACCAAGGCGACGAUCCGUAGCUGGUCUGAGAGGAUGAUCAGCCACACUGGGACUGAGACACGGCCCAGACUCCUACGGGAGGCAGCAGUGGGGAAUAUUGGACAAUGGGCGAAAGCCUGAUCCAGCCAUGCCGCGUGUGUGAAGAAGGCCU